rnacentral:lncRNA from 1 species
UGGGAAGCCAAGUGUGGAGCUAAAGACGGUGGUGCGGAAUGGAACAUUUGUGGUACCUGCAUAGGAAAAAGUGGUGCCGAAGUUUGUUCUGGUUGUGAUGGUAGUGGAUCGGAAGGUAGCUGGAGUUGUGAGAGAUUGUGAGCCCACGAUGACUGCAUAAGUAAAUGAGUAGUACCCAAAUGAUCUGCCGGCAGAACACUUGGUAGUUGCAGAUCUUGUGCCACACAUGUGCCACCGGUGUUGUCUUCACGACCAUGUAGUGGAGGUAUCCGGAAUCUAAUGUCUUUUUGGACCCGAGAGAGCUCACUGAAGAGCUUGUUCAGAUCUUCAAGACUGAGAUCAUGUUCCUUCGUGAAGAUGAGAUUUGCCACCAUACCUGGAUUCUCUUCUUGGAUAUUUUUCAUACGAAGGAUGGAAAGGUUGUUUUUGUCUUCCUCCGUCAUGUUCUCCAUGUCCAACUGAGCCACCUCGUUUUGUAGGCUUCCAAUCCUAGCAGUGGUUGCCUCGUCGGCAGAGGGAACUGCUGGUGGAGUUCCAAAUAGGAAAGCAUCAACAAUGGGAUCGGCCAAUGGCGUCCCAAAUGAGUGCAUCUUUCCAAUGUUUGUUUCUAGGACGACCGCAACCCUAGCCCUAGUGAGGGCAGAAAUGUCAGUCACCCUCUUGAACAAACCGGAACGUCGCUUGUAGAAGGUGAGAUCACGUUCUUUGUCAUUAUGGAUGUAUGCCAAACCUGACCGCCGCUCUUUCCUCGGCAUACUAAUGUGGACAAAGAGGAAGAAACUAACUACUACAAAUAGGAAGCACAAGGAUCUACAGAAAACUAGAGAUUUAGGAGCACUGUUGGCUAACCACAUAUUGGUGUAGGAUAUGAGAAGAUGUACUCCCCUUAUAUAGAAUUAAAAGGGUUGUAUGGCAGUGAUAUUUGACUAUACAAAGACCAUGUAAAUCUUUAGUAAAAAUUAACAUACAUAACUCACAAAAAGUGCUAUUUUAUGGAUACUAUUAACUAUCGUCCAAAUAUACAUAUGUGAGUGCAUCCACAUCCUUCUUUGCAACCACUGAUAUGUAUUUCUUCUGAUGUAAGUAUUCACAUCCAUAUAUAGAACUAUUAACACUUUUAAAAAUAGAAAUAUUAAAUGAUUCCCAUUUGACCACAUUCAUAUCCUUAUCUAGAAGUAUUAAUGGGAGUUAAACCCAACUAAGUUUUACUCUAAUAUACAAAAUAAUUGUGGUCAAAUUUAUUUGGUUGUUAAUUGCAUCCAAAUCCUUUGUUGAUCACAUUGAUUACAUACUAAUGUAUCCGUGAUCAUAUUGAUUACAUCCAUAUCCUGUACUAGGAACUACCUAAUCUAGAAGUGGUCGUCCUUUAAUCCAUAAUAUCCAAGUAUAACAUGGACCUUGCUUUGGUGCUUAACUUAGAAAUUGAGAUACCAACUAGGAAAGAUAUACUAAGAGCAACUAUAAAAUACUAGGACAUUUGGUAAGUCAUGGUAUAACACAUAUGUUACUCGGAGCAUCGACCUGCUUCCUUGGUAAGCCCAGUUCCCGCUCAAGAUGUGUUUUUAUUGGUUACACAUGUAUAUCUUGGGCCCUAGUUUUUUAUGGCCCAUAAAAUAAUAUGUGUAAGGCUUUUUCUGGAAGGAUCCAACACAACCAAAUCUAUUAUGUAUUAAAAGAAUUGACGGGCUCACCAGAAAAACAUAAAAAUGCUAGAAAAUAACUCAAAAAUAAAAACAACUAAUUGUCUAUCUAUUAUAUAUUAAAAGCAAUUGACGGGCUCGCCAGAAAAAAGAUAUAGAUGCUAGAAGAUCUCUCAAAAAUCAAAAACAUCUGACUGUCUAUUUAAUAGGCUAAUAUUUUAUAACCAUUAGAUUAGGUUUAAGUGAAAUAAUUACCCACCAUUGCCAUUAUAAGAAAAAAGUGUUCCAUCUAACUUAUUAGGAUGUGGGCUGAUGCCAUCUUAUUAGGACGUGGGCUGAUGACAUAAUAUAAUGGAAAAAACGUUAUGUUCCCAUAGUACCAAAAGGACUGCUCACACAUGAACACAGUGGCAGCAAUGUUCAUGUAAAUGAUCUUUGUGAUUAAUUCCCCCUUGGUAGAGUACCUGAAAAAGCCUCCAGGUUGGAUCUUCCCGGAGCAGAGAGGUGGGCGGCGCAAAAAUCAUCUGUUAAUAUUUCUAACGUUUUCGGGAGUAUAUAAAGGCAGCGGAAGAAAGAUGCGAUGGAGGCAACCUCUAUGGCGGCCAUGCUCCCCCUUGGAUGCUCUUGCCGACCUGUGGCAUGUGUCCUAGGAGGGGUGGGGGGUGGGUCUAGGUCCCUCCGGCUUCCUUUCUUCAUGAAACUUAGUGUUUUUUUCUAGUUUUUUGGUCCCUAAAAAGUUGAUUUUUUUCUUCUGAAAAUUCAAAAACACAACAACUAGCACUUUGCACUGAAUUAAUAGGUUAAUCAAGAAAAACUAUAAAAGUUGAUGCCAAUACUAUGCCAUUAUGAUAUAAGUAUAGCAUGAAACAAUAAAAAUUUCUUGAUACAUAUAGUACAUAUCAACUGGCAUGAAUAAAUUGAUGUUUUUCUAGGGUUUGUUAAUACUCGACAAUAUUGUUCUCCUAGAUAACCAGACACAAGGUACUCCUUGGUCCCUAUUGGUUCGAUGUCCAGGCUAAGAUUGUGACUAGCAUGAAUAAAUUGAUGGCUUUCUCUAUCGCUCACUAUUACUUGAUGGAACUUCAGCUGGGUAGCUGGACAGAAGCGAGGUUAUUCCUACCAAUUAGAAAUGGGCGACUCCCAUUCCGUAGCCAUCUGCACGUUACUACAAGCUAAAAUGGUGCCAAGCACGAAUAAAUCGUUAUAUUUCUCCAAGGCUCAUUAAUAAUGCAUGGUACUAUUCGGUUGGAUAGCCACACAGAAGUAAUGUACUCCUUUUCAAUUUGAGGGGAUGACUCUUGGCCUUUAUCCAUCUGUCUAGUCACUAGCACGAAUAAAUUGGUGUCUUUCUCUACAACAAAUAAUUGAUGGUACUAUUCAGCCAGACAACCAGUAAGAAGCAAGGUACUCCCUGGUCCCCUGCCGACUCAAGGUGGAUGGCUGCUGGUAAUAUAUGCAUUAAUCCAAACUGAAACGGUGACUAGCACGAAUAAAUCGAUGUCCUUCUUUUUGGCUCUUUAAUACUUCCACUUUUCGACUAGGUUGUCCGAAAACAUGAGGUGGGCACCUCCUGAUACGGAGACGCAUGCACAUUAAUCCAUGCUAAAAUGGUGACUUGCACAAAUAUAUCGAUGUCUUUCUCUAGGGCUCAUUAACACUUGAUGGUAUGGUUUGGUUGGACAACAGGACAAAAAGCAAGGUAUUCCAGGAUUUCUUGUCCAUAUAGGGUGGAUGGCUCCAGGCACGGCCAGUUACACAUUAAUCCGGGCUCGUCUAACACGAAUAAAUGGAUGUCUUUCUCUAUGGCUCAUUAAUACUUGAUGGCACUCUUUGGUUAGGCGGUGUACAAAAGCGAGGUACUCCCUUCUGAUUUCGGGUGGUUGUGGGGCCACUAGACGGACACAAGCAAGGUAUUGCCUGUCACUUGGGGGGAUAUUUUAAAUAUUGUUUUUGUUACAUAAAUUUCAAAAAUAUAACACUAAAAUAUAAUAUUGUACCAGUAGUACUCCGACAUGUCGGUGCCAACAAUGACAGGUAUCAUUGGCACUACCAAUGAUAUAUCUGUUAUGUUGUCAUUUUGAGUCACAUGGGCCAUCAUCAGUGCAUCCUGCAUCAGCCCUCCUGCAUGACACACUCGUACAGAGCUAGCUAUGUUAGAGCAUGUACAAUGGUGCUAUCUUCCAAUGUCACCUAAGAUCACUGCUGAGUUAGAAGAGAGCGAAUGGAGGGAAAAAAGGCUUGCCAUCUCUUACCUAAGAGAUGGUUUGUCAGUAAAGAAGAUAAGACAAUUCUAUCCAUUUUACUAGAUGUCAUCUCUUAGCUACAUAUUUUCUAGUUUAAUUUUAACCAACGCAUUAAUUUAAGAGCAUGUAAACUUUGCUUGUUAGGCUAAGAGCUAAUUCAUUGUAUCAUAUGUUUUUAAGCUUCUCCAAAUGACAUACAUUGCAUCAGCCCUCCCACAUGACACACUCGUACAGAGCUAGCUACCUUAGGUCGUCGUGUACAAUGAUGCUAUCUUCGCAAUGUCACCUAAGAUCAUUGAUGAGUUAAACUAGAGUGAUUGGAGGAAAAAAGGCUUGCCACCUCUUACCUAAGAGAAGGUCUCUCAGGAAAAGAAGAUAAGACAAUUCUACCCAAUGUACUAGAUGUCAUCUCUUAUAUUUCCUAGUUUAAUUUUAACCAUCGCAUUAAUUUAAGAGCAUGUAAUCUUUGCUUGUUAGGCUAAGAGAUAAUUCAUUGUGUGAUAUGUUUUUAAGCUUCUCCAAAUGACAUACAUAGCAUACGAGAAUAUUGUAACAAAUAACUAUUUGUGUACAGUGUGCUCGGUCUAUUAUGAAGAUAUAAAGCAUGUGCUAUUUGAAUGUAAUGUUGCAAGGGAGGUUUGGGACAGUCUUGGUCUACUGGAACUCACCGAAGAGGCAUGCAUGCUGGACAAUUGAGGUAGUGUUUUUUUUCACAAAUUCACGAAUGUUUUUUAAAUUUGCUAAUGUUAUUUUUAGAAAGCAUGAUUUUUUAGUUUGAGAACAUUUUAAAACUUUCAGAAAUUAUUUUAAUUGGGGAAUAUUUAUAAUUUGAUGAGCAUUUUAAACAUCCUAAACAUUUUUUUAAUUACAGAAUAUAUUUUUUAUAAAGUUGCAAACGUUCUUAAAAUCCAUGGAUUGUUUUUCAAACUUGGAAGCAUUUAUUAAAAUUCUUGAAAAGAUGUUAAAAAUGAACAAAAAUUGUCAGCAUUUGUUAAAAUUUUCACAGCAGGCUUCCCACAAAAAAAAUUCACAGCAGGCACCUUUUAAUUUGUUUUCUAGUAAACAGCUCAAAAAUAGAUCUGUACAACGGAGAAACAGCUAUAUCUCGCUAUACAGCAAGAUAUAACCUGAGCUCGCCUCUGAGCCCACCUUAGUGGGUGGGCCCAAUGGUCCAGAUUUGGAAAGGUAGUACUGACUGGUACAGACUUGUUUUAGAACCAGUUUCUAAAAAAAACAUGUUUUAGAACCUUUCAAGUUAUUUUUUUCCUUUUUGUUACAGUGUUUUCUUGGUAUACUUCAUUGUUAUUGCGUUUUAUGUUUUUCAUUCCUUUCCUUUUUUUUGCAUUUUUCAAAUAUACGUUGACUUUAUUUAAAUACACAUUGAAAAAUGCAUAUGCAUGUUGAACCUAUUUGGAUACACGUUAAACAUUUUCCAAAUACAAUUUGAAUACUUUUUAAAUACACCUUGAACAUUUGUCAAAUGUACAUUAAACAUCUUCAAAAUACAAUGUGGAAUUUUCUUAAACACACAAUGACCAUUUUUCAUAAAUGCCAUGAAUAUUACUUUUAGUUGUGCAAACAGUUUUUAAGUGCUACGGAAAUUUCUUCAAACUCAUGAACCUUUUUUGAAUGGUACGAAACAUUUUCUGAAGAUUGCACAAUCAAAUUUUAACAUUAGCAAGGUAACUAAUGAUAAAAGUGAGCGUAAACGGUAUUGCAAUGAUAGGAAACAAGGCCUAGGGUUCAUACUUUCACUAGUGCAAGUUCUCUCAACAAUAAUAACAUAGAUAGAUCAUAUAACAAUCCCUCAACAUGCAACAAAGAGUCACUCCAAAGACACUAAUAGCGGAGAACGAACGAAGAGAUUAUGGUAGGGUGCGAAACCACCUCAAAGUUAUUUUUUUGGAUCAAUCUAUUCAAGAGUUCGUACUAGAAUAAUACCUUAAGACACAAAUCAACCAAAACCCUAAUGUCACCUAGAUACUCCAUUGUCACCUCAAGUAUCAGUGGGCAUGAUUAUACGAUAUGCAUCACACAAUCUCAGAUUCAUCUAUUCAACCAACACAAAGUACUUCAAAGAGUGCCCCAAAGUUUCUACCGGAGAGUCAAGAACGUGUGCCAACCCCUAUGCAUAGGUUCAUGGGCGGAACCCGCAAGUUGGUCACCAAAACAUACAUCAAGAGGCACAUGAUAUCACAUUGUCAUCACAGAUAAGUGAUAUCUACUACACAACCUUCUUCUUGUAGACGUUGUUGGGCCUGCAAGUGCACGGGUUUGUAGGACAGUAGCAAAUUUCCCUCAAGUGAAUGACCUAAGGUUUAUCAAUCCGUAGGAGGCGUAGGAUGAAGAUGGUCUCUCUCAAACAACCCUGCAACCAAAUAACAAAGAGUCUCUUGUGUCCCCAACACACCCAAUACAAUGGUAAAUUGUAUAGGUGCACUAGUUCGGUGAAGAGAUGAAGAUGCAAGUGCAAAAUAGAUGGUAGAUAAAGGUAUUUGUAAUCUGAAAUAAUAAAAACAGCGAGGUAGCGAGCGAUAAAAGUGAGCGUAAACGGUAUUGUAAUGAUAGAAAACAAGGCCUAGGGUUCAUACUUUCACUAGUGCAAAUUCUCUCAACAAUAAUAACAUAGAUAGAUCGUAUAACAAUCCCUCAACAUGCAACAAAGAGUCACUCCGAAGUCACUAAUAGCGGAGAACAAACAUAGAGAUUAUGGUAGAGUACGAAACCACCUCAAAUUUAUUCUUUUGGAUCGAUCUAUAAAAGAGUUCGUACUAGAAUAACACCUUAAGACACAAAUCAACCAAAACCCUAAUUUCACCUAGAUACUCCAUUGUCACCUCAAGUAUCCGUGAGCAUGAUUAUACGAUAUGCGUCACACAAUCUCAGAUUCAUCCAACCAACAUGAAAGUACUUCAAAGAGUGCCCCAAAGCUACUACCGGAUGAUACGUCUCCAACGUAUCUAUAAUUUUUGAUUGCUCCAUGCUACUUUAUCUAUUGUUUUGGACUAUAAUGGGCUUUAUUUUCCACUCUUAUAUUAUUUUUGGUACUAACCUAUUAACCGGAGGCCCAGCCCAGAAUUGCUGCUUUUUUGCCUAUUUCAGUGUUUCGAAGAAACGGAAUAUCAAACGGAGUCCAAACGGAAUGAAACCUUCGGGAACGUGAUCUUCUCACCGAACGUGAUCCAGGAGACUUGGACCCUACUCCAAGGAGUGCCAGAGGCGGUCACGAGGGUGGGGGGCACGCCCUUACCCCCUGGGCGCGCCCCCCUACCUCGUGGGCCCCCUAACGCUCCACCGACGCUCACCGGGCGCUCGGGUCCUCUGGUGCUGGAUCCUCGCGGUCCUGGCAGCCGGAACACCUCUCCUUCCCCAUCACCGGUCGGGCAGACUAUGAGUCCUACCGGUAACGGGCGGCUCGCCGUGGGAAGGAGAGGAUAAGGGCCGCCGAGGCCCGUAUCGCGGCGAAAAUGGCGGCCGAGGCGGCUGAUACGGCGGCGCGGGCGGCCGCAGAGGAGAAGACAUCCACGCCCGCAUUGUGAAGAAACGGCUGUGGAGGAACACGCGCGCGCUCGCCUGAGAGAAGAAUCGGGCGGUCCGUGCCAUGGUUGGACUGCCACCGAAGGAGGAGGAGGACAGCUCCGGUGACGAGCAGAUCCGGCUUGAUCCAUACUGCGUCUUCAACCGGUACUUUCAUGAGAAGGACAACAAGGACACCGAGAAGGGCAAGAGCGCGUCCACGGGCGUUUGAGGGAUCGGAUUUGCCAAGUCUCGGCAGUAGAUGCUCUUAACGAAACAUCCCAUUCUCAACAAUAGAUAUGUAUCAAUUUAUAUCUGGGUUGGAUGGAAACAAAUCAUCUGACUUUUAGCUCUUUUGGAAAGGUGCCAAACGGUAAACAAUCCCGACCAUAAAUAUCGCCGAUCAACGUCGCUGCCCAACGGUCGGCAAGCUCCUUCCCAUUCCGUUAUAAUAGUACUCCCUUCGUUCGGAAUUACUUGUCUCAGAAAUGGAUGUAUCUAGAACUAAAAGACGUUUAGAUACAUUCAUUUCCGCGACAAGUAAUUCCGAACAAAAGGAGUAGGUGGUAAUAGUACUAUCAUCUCCUUCCUCCUCCGACUCCCUCCCCUUCUCCUUCCUCCUCCUCCCACUGCAUCAGAGGUCCCGACGCAAGUGCGGCCAUGGCGGUUGUCGACGAGCCCAUCAAAGCAAGUCCCCUCUCCAACUCCAACUCCUUUCAUUCAUUCAUUCAUUUAUUUAUGCAUACAUAUCUGUACAUAUAUUUCUAUUGAUAUAUAUGUCCGUGUGGUUGUUUUCAAUUUUCCGAUUCAUGGAUCGAACAUCACCUUUCUUAGGAUUCUUGACAAGAUUUAAAAACGAAAACGUUCAUGGACUAUGUCGUUCCUUGAACCAUUGGUUAUAGAUCCGACUGAUAUUUACUCGCGUGACAAUUACAGAUAGCUCUGUCGCAUAAUUUCCAGAGGGGGCGAGGCACGCCGGUAGGUGAUUCCCCGCGGUCUGCCAAGAUUGAGAUCGGGCAGGAGACAGCAUUCGUGCCCGGGAACGGCGGUAGCAGCAGCACACACGUUGAUGAUGCCGAUGAUGAUGAUGAUUUUGCGCCCAUGGUGAGAACCUUCAUGGAACCAACAAAUCACACAUUGCUGCAUUUUAGUCAGUUCUUUCAGCCUUGCUCAAGAUUCAGAGUACUCGUCAAAUGCAUGUUAUCAUAUAUCGAACACUCGGAUAAAAACAGCAAGCCACUUUGCGGGUUGGUCGUGGAUCGAUGAAUUUGACAAAGGAAAAGUUUUAGUCAGAUUGUUCUGAGGGGACUUCAGUAUAGUCUUUUUUUUUCGACCAUUUAAUUAGCCUUUUCACCUUUUGUUUCUGAAUGUUCGGCUAUGCCUACCUGUGGAACCGCCGGACAAACUAAAAACUGUUUUUCUAUGUUUUUUUUCAAUUCUACUAAUGCAUUGUUUAUCUAUUAUACUAGGAUUUCUUGAGGUUUCUUCAUGUUGUUUUUUCCCAGUGACUAUCUUGUCUCGCUUUGGUCGAUUUAUCUAUUUAUAUGUGAAUAGUUUUUAGUGAGCUGUUUCCGGCACUGAAAAAAAAGGACAAAGAUGGUCGAUUCUUAAGAAGAAUAACAAGAAAAGAGUCCUCUUCAUUUUCUCUAUCCCUGAGACUGGGAUACUCUUUUUUUUGUUGUUGUUAUUCUCUCUUUGUUGGUGGUACCUGUUGGAUGAAUGGCAACUAAGCUUUACUGAGGGUCAAAGGCCAUUACAUAUACAUGUGUGGUAAAGUGCAUAAAACCCCUCAUACAAUAGGGAAAUAACAAAAAGAGACUAUACACAUCUAACACCCCCCUCGAACUCAUGGUGGAUCAACAACACUGAGUUUGGAGAGGAAAAAGCCAUGCUGCGCUCGAGUCUGUGCCUUCGUGAAGAAGUCAGCCAAUUGUAACUCAGAAGGCACAUAGUGAAGAGCGAGAGUCUGAUCCUGCACAGCAGCACGCACAAAGUGGGCAUCCACACCGAUGUGCUUGGUGAGCUCAUGCUUCACCGGGUCACGCGCAAUACUGAUAGCGCCAGUACUGUCUGAUAGUAAGGGAGUCGAGGUAGUAGCAGACACACCAAAAUCCUCAAGUAGCCACCGUAAACAGAUCACCUCAGCCGUCAGCAUAGCCAUGGCUCGCAACUCAGCCUUCGUACUCGAGCGAGAAACUGCAGUCUGUUUCUUGGUCUUCCAGGCAAUAAGAGAGCCACCAAGAAAGACACAAUAAGCAGACAACGAGCGUCGAUCAGAGGGAUCACUAGCCCAGGUAGCAUCAGAGUAGGCCUGGAGCUCAAGAGAGCUGGAGCGGGGAAAGAAAAGGCGCCGAGAGAUCGUGCCACGAAGAUAUUGUAGAACACGGAGGAGAUGACUAUAGUGGACAGAGGUGGCAGCUGAAACGAACUGACUCAGAAUGUGAACGGGAUAGGAGAUGUCAGGACGCGUCACAGCAAGAUAGACAAGACUGCCAACAAGGUGACGAUAGCGAGUGGGAUUAGGGAGAGGGUCACUAUCAGAGGCACGAAGCUGAACGUUGAGCUCCAUGGGAGUCACAACUGUGCGCUCAUCACCGAGAGCAGCGCGAGCAAGAAGGUCCUGGAUAUAUUUUCUUGGGAGAUGUAGAAGCCAUCAGAGGUCGAGGAGAUCUCAAUCCCAAGAAAAUAGCGAAGUGGACCAAGAUCAGUCAUGAGGAACUGGUCGCGAAGGCGAGCCUUAACAAAGGCAAUAUAAUCAGCAUCGUCACCAGUGAUGAUCAUGUCAUCAACAUAGAGAAGGAGAAGAGUCCGACCACGAGGAGACGUGUGAACAAACAACGCGGGAUCAUGAUCACUGGGCAGGAAACCAGCGGAGGUCACCAUAGAGGUGAAGCGCUCAAACUAGGCGCGAGGGGCCUGUUUGAGACCAUAUAGGGAGCGGCGAAGUUUUCAGACCAUACCAUCAGGAGCAUAGUACCCCGGUGUGGCUACAUAUAAACCUCCUCACGCAACUCGCCAUUGAGAAAAGCGUUCUGAACAUCAAGUUGAGAGAUAGACCACUGACGAACCGAAGCCACGACAAGAAGAGUGCGAAUAGUGGUCAUGUGGGCCACAGGAGCGAAUGUCUCAUCAUAAUCGCGCCCCUGCUCCUGCUGAAAACCACGGGCCACAAGACGAGCUUUGUAGCGCUCAAGAGAACCAUCUGAGCGAGUCUUAAGCUUGUAGACCCACUUGCAGGUGAUGGACGGACACCGGAAGGGAGGGGAACCAGAUCCCAUGUGCCAGAGCGCUCAAGGGCAGCAAGCUCUUCGGCCAUCGCAAGCUGCCAUUCAGGCUGAGUCAUGGCAGUGCGAUAGGAAGUGGGCUCAGUCAUAACAGAGAGACCAUAAUGAUCAGGGGAGUAGCGAUCAGGCGGGGGGCGAGGCCGAGCACGGAGAUUGUGAAUCGGGGGAGGCGUGAGAGGAGGUGCACCAGAGGUGGAAGGCUCGUCAGAGGACAUCCUCAGUACGAGAUCGACGAGUAUAGUGGAGAGGAAACGGUGAGAGAGGGCGGCGGAUUGGAGAGGAUGGGGGAGAGGUGGAGGAGGAGGAUGGAGAAGACGGGGUCGAUGGUGAAUGAGAAGGAAUGAGAGGUGCCGCAGGAAGAGGUGACACAUGAGGCACAUAGAAGGGUGUAUCAGGAAGGAGAAGGAAAGAAAGGUCGUCCACAGAGAAACUCGAGGAAGAAGAACGUGGGUAGUAAGAACGUGACUCGUCAAAAGUCACAUCACGCGAGAUGCGCAAGCGACGACCCAUGGGAUCCCAACAUCGAUAGCCCUUGUGCUCAUCACUGUAGCCAAUGAAACCACACUCAACCGACUGAGCUGUCAGUUUGGUGCGUUCUCGGGGAGCAAGAAGAACAUAGCAGACGCAUCCAAACAUACGAAGAGCUGAGUAGUCAGGAGAGCGACCAGUGAGACACCCCAUAGGAAUGCCACCUUUCAAAGCAGUCGAUGGCUGAAUGUUGAUGAGAUAGGUGGAUACGGAAAUAGCCUCAGCCCAAAAGUGGGGUGGAAGGGAAGCAACAAUCAUCAGUGCACGAGCCGUCUCAAGCAAAUAACGAUGCUUUCGCUCGGCAACGCCAUUCUGAGCAUGAGCACCAGGACAGGAGAACUGGGCAAGAGUACCCUGUUCCGCGAGAAAACCACGCAAUAGCUGAGAGAUAUACUCUCCAGCAGAGUCAGCACGAAAAGUACGAAUGGGCGUGGCAAACUGGAUGUGAACCAUGGCAGCAAAACGUUUGUAUAUAGGGAGAACCUCGCUACGAGAUUUCAUGAAGUAAAGCCAAGUGUAGCGAGAGAAAUCAUCAAUAAACAAAACAUAGUAGCGAUGACCACCUUUCGAAUCAAAGGGAGUGGGACCCCAGACAUUAGAUUGAACCAAGUCAAAAGGAUGCUGAGAUACAGACUCACUAGUAGGAUAAGGUAACUGAGUCUGUUUGCCAAGUCUGCAACCAUUACAAUGUAAGGAGACAUCUCCAGAUACAGACCCUAAGAGGCCCUGACGAACUAAGGAAGACAAGCGAGAGCCACAGAGGUGACCAAGUCGAUGAUGCCACUGCUGGAAGGACGCAGACAAAGAGGCAGCAAGAGCAUGAGAGCUGGCAGAAGUGGUGGCAGCGGAAGGAACACAAAGCCAGUCAACCUCCCAAAGGCCCUCUGACUCACGGAGCCAGGGGCCAGCACCAACCAAAGCCUUGGUGCGACGAUCCUGAAUGGAGCAAGAUUCGCUAUCAAGAAUAACACGACGACCAGAAUCAGUGAGUUGGGCAGCGGAAAAAAGAUUCAUGGUAAGGCGAGGAACAUGUGAAACACUCGGAACAGAAAAAGAUGGAAUGGAAAGAAUACCACGACUAGCAAUAGGAAGAGAUGUGCCAUCGGCAGUAAGAACAUUAACAGGCGAAUCAAGAGGUCGGAGAGAAGACAUCAUGGAAGAGUCAGAAGACAUAUGAAAAGAGGCUCCAGAAUCCAGAACCCACGAAUAUGUACCUGACUGUGUAGAUGCCUGUGAUGGUGAAGAGGAGGAUGCAGUCACAGCAGCAGCAGAGCCAGUCGACGAGGAGCCUGAGGAAGCAAGAAGACGCUUGAGGCGAACAAUGUCCUGGUCAGUGAGUGACGGAGUCGAGAAGACACAGGAGGCCCACUGGCAGAGGAGCGCCUCUGGUCUCGCUUCUUCUGGCGACAAUCAGACUCUAGGUGACUUGCUGGUAGCAGUAACCACAGACGGUGUCACGGUGCGACGNNNNNNNNNNNNNNNNNNNNNNNNNNNNNNNNNNNNNNNNNNNNNNNNNNNNNNNNNNNNNNNNNNNNNNNNNNNNNNNNNNNNNNNNNNNNNNNNNNNNNNNNNNNNNNNNNNNNNNNNNNNNNNNNNNNNNNNNNNNNNNNNNNNNNNNNNNNNNNNNNNNNNNNNNNNNNNNNNNNNNNNNNNNNNNNNNNNNNNNNNNNNNNNNNNNNNNNNNNNNNNNNNNNNNNNNNNNNNNNNNNNNNNNNNNNNNNNNNNNNNNNNNNNNNNNNNNNNNNNNNNNAGUGAGGCGAGGAGAUGACACAGGAGCUCGGGCAGCCAAUACUGAUGGAACCAGAAGCAACCCAGCAGAGCGAAGGCCGGUCUCCUCAGCACGAAGCUCAGCAAGUAUCUCUGAGAUAGGAACACGACCACGAGCAAGCAAGUGAGCACGGCGAGGCUCAAACUCAGAGCGGAGACGAGAUAAGAACUCAUGGACCCUCUGAAACUCCAAGUCAGACCUCGUAGUCUGGCAACAAUGGCAAGUGCCACAAACAACUGUCCGUAGUGAGUCAAGCUGACGCCAGAUGGCAGAGCACUGUGAAUAGAACUCAUCCACAGACGAGUCACCCUGCUGAAGAGCAUGCUCCUGACGCACCACAGAGAGGUAUAGAGCAUCGCCAGAGGGCUGAUAGCGAUGACAAAGAUAGGACCACGUCGCUGCAACAGUGCCGAGGCCCAUGAACUCCGAAGCAAACCGAGGCAGGACACUCGCAGUAAGAACAGCACAGCUCGAGCAUCAUCAUUGCACCACUGAGUGUAAGCAGACAGAUCAUCCCGGUAGACAGAGAGAGCAUCAGAAUAGGCAGAUACCUGCUGAUCAUAAGCAUCAACUGCAGCAUCAUCAAGAGCCUUGGCUGCAUCCCGAUCAGCCUGAGAAGCAUCAGCAGCAAGCACCGGCGGUACCGGCGGUACAGGAGCAAUCGGAGCAACAGGGCAGGGCGGACAGGGUACCUCACCAGAGAGAACGCCCCACAGCAGAAGACCGCGCAUAUGGAUACGCAUGAAGCCCACAAACUCAGCAUAGUUGGUGCCAUCAAAUAUCACUGAGCAGCGAGCAACAACCAAAUAGCCCGAGGAUGACAUUCUGAGAUAUCCCUCUGUUUCUUUUCUCUCUCUCUUUUUUUUGAGUCAACGGGCACAGGACGACCCAAUCUGGAUCGAGAGGAAAGCGAGCCUCCGCUUGCACGCCCGGACACGCGCUCGCUCUGGCUGGCCGAGCAGAGGCGAGGGAGCAGCACUCGCUCAGAUCCGGCCAGGAAAGAGAGAGCCGGCCCGGCCGGACAGCAGCUGGGGGCGCAGGAGGCGGACGGAGGCGGACGGGGGCGGCCGGAUGGACCCGAGGAGACUGGGGCAGAGCUUGGGCAAGAAACGGCAGCGUGGGCGGCGGCCGGAUCCAAGCCAGGCCACGACGACGACCGAACGGGCCGACGGAGGCGGCGGCCGAAUGAGGUCAGCCGCGGCAAUGGCGACCGAGCGAGCCGACGAGGAAGGGGAGCAGCGGGAUGGGCUGGUGGUGGCGGCAGCCAGAGCCGGAGAUGGCCGGAGAGAGCGGCGACCAGAGGAGAUGGCCGGAGAUGGCUGCAGCCAGAGACUGGCACGCUAGGUUCGGAAUGCACGGAGUUGCGUCGUGCGGGAGAACGGGACUAGCCUAGCAUCUGAUACCAUGUUGGAUGAAUGACAACUAAGCUUUACUGAGGGCCAAAGGCCAUUAUAUAUACGUGUGUGGUAAAGUGCAUAAAACCCCUCAUACAAUGAAAAAUAACGAAAAGAUACUAUACACAUCUAACAGUACCUACCUUACAUGCCAAGAAUAGGCGCAUCUGAAUUUUGCUGAAACUCCCUGAUAUAUAUGACUUUUCUAUUUAAGCAAGUACAAUAUUGACCCGCACAUUUAUCCGAACAUGCCAGAUUGUCUAUUUUUAUCCGAACCUGCAUUUCGUGAUCCGUCAUUGGGGUGUCGUCGUUCCAGGAGAUUUUGUUUCUGGCGUUGAGGAACUGACUAGUGACUGCUACUGCUAGUUAUUGCUACAUCACAAGUUGAAGUUUCGUAUCAAAAACUAUUGUGCAAUUUAUGUUUAACUCAUGCUCAUAACAAUGAGUAGCCUGGCUUGGUUUCCUAACUAUUAUCCAGGGGAAGGGAGGGAGGCCAGCGGGUUCCCUCGAGUCUGCCAUGACCGAGAUGGGGCAGAAGACGGCGUUGGCACAUCCGAAGCUCACUUUGGUCGGCAACGGCGGUUCAGAGAAUGAGCAAGUAAAGCGUCCAGGCUCUCGCUAUGAAGUGAGGACUAUCACUAUUACCUACAAUGUAAGGAAAUCCUCAUAAAAGUACUUUUCAUGCCUCAGAUUAUCUGUUAUCUUUGCGGCAUAUGUAAACAGAUAUUGAAUUUGUUGCUUUGUUUUGUUUGAUUACUUUAUUUUCAGAGGAAGAGAAGGUGGCCAGCCAACAGUACGAUAGUGCAUAAGCCAAUAAUGUUGAUUGACAGCGGCAGUAGCAGCGAUGCCAAGAGUGACAAGGGUGAUGACUAUGAGCCACCAGUAAGGCAUUCCAUGAAAUAUUUUCAAAUUGUUUCUCUUAAGACAUUUUCAAUGACUUUGAGCCACCCAUAAGGCCUUACAUUCAAUAAUUUAAAUUUAUCUCUUCCGAAAUUUUUGCUGUUCAAAUAUUGAUGUAUUUCACACCUUGCGUUGUGGAUGGAUGAGCCUAAAUUCUUAUUGGGAAAAAAAUAGGCAACUCUUUGAUUGAUUGUUUUACAGACGAAGAGGAGGAGGCCACCAGUUCUCAAAACCGCCAAGAGCAAGAGAGGGGGGCCACCGGGUUCGAAAUCAGCCAAGAACAAAGAAGAUGCGCUAGUAGAAAAGGGGCUUUUAGUCCCGGUUCAUAAGGGCCUUUAGUCCCGGUUCUGGAACCGGGACUAAAGGGUCGUUACUAAAGCCUUCCCCUUUAGUCCCGGUUCUUACACGAACCAGGACUAAAGGCUCUCCACGUGGCCACUGUCUGGAGGUCCACCUUUAGUCCCGGUUGGUAACACCAACCGGUACUAAAUUAAAUUUAUGAUUUUUUAAAAAAAAUGAUUUUUUUGGAAUAUUUUUUUAUUUUCAAAUUUUGAAUACCGGGACUAAAGGCUCUCCACGUGGCCACUGUCUGGAGGUCCACCUUUAGUCCCGGUUGGUAACACCAACCGGUACUAAAUUAAAUUUAUGAUUUUUAAAAAAAAAUUGAUUUUUUUGGAAUAUUUUUUUAUUUUCAAAUUUCUGAAUUAUUUUAACCUCUCAUCUCUAAUCACCCCUCAUCACUGCGCUCAAUUUAACCUCUAAUCACCCCUCAUCAUCUAACUUCCCGGACAGUCACCCAUCCUCUCACUACUCCAGCCUGAGCACGCUUAACUUGCGAGUUCUAUUCUCUCUCAUUUCCAAGUCUGCACUUGUUGUUUUCCUGACAAUAGUAAGAUGUCAAUCCUAUUAACCUCAGGAAUUUAGCUUGAGCAUGAAGUCACACAUUUCACUGUUUGAGUUUGAAACUAUUGUUCUAAAAAAUAACACUAAUAUUUAGUAACACUAAUAUUUCUUGAAUAAUUAGUUUGACCAUUUUUUGAUCACAGUUUGACCAGAUUUGACCAAAAUUCAAAAAAACUGAAAUAAUUAUUUAGUAACACUAAUAUUCUUGAAUAAUUAUUUAGUAACACUAAUACUUCUUGAAUAAGUAGUUUGACCAUAGUUUGACCAGAUUUAACAAAAAUUCAAAAAAAUUGAAAUUUGAGCAUAACUUUUUUCCUUUUUCAUAUUACGUAUCAUAUUUUGAAAAACAAUUCCCCAAAAAAAUCGAAACUAAUUUUUGAGAAAUCGGUAAUAAAGGUCUAACCUUUAGUCCCGGUUGGUGCCACGAACCGGUACUAAUGGGCAUGGCACCCUUUAGUCCCGGUUCGUAGCACCAACCGGGACUAAAAGGUCCAGACGAACCGGGACAAAUAGCCCACGUGGCCCGGCCGGCCCCCUGGGCUCACGAACCGGGACCAAUGCCCCCAUGGGUCCCGGUUCUGGACUGAACCGGGACUAAUGGGCUAACCCGGCCUGGACCAAAGCCCUCUUUUCUACUAGUGAUGGCAUUGGAUCUUUGGAACCAGGCACUGAGUUUGACGUUGGCAAAAGCUUCAGAAGCUUCAAGGUCGUCGUCGGUGGUUCUGCCAUCAACGACAAACUACUACCCAUUGAGAUGCGUAGGGCGUACCACGGGCUCUUCCGCGACCGGAAGUCGCUCCAGAGCGAGCGUAUGUAGAAGCCCAUAUGCCCUUUGCUCGUUGCAGGAGUGAUCAUCGAGACGGUUCGCAUAGCUGAGGGCAUCAGGGCCUCCGCCGCCUCCCCGUCCUGCGAGGACCUCACACGGUGGAAGAAAGGCAUGGAGUCCUUUGAGAUGAUGGGCAUGGAUGUUGGCUUCAUGCGCGAGCACGUUGAUGGCCUCCUCACCCUUCUCGAGAAAGCAGAUCACCUGCAUUAAGGGUUAGAUGCGGCAAAGCUGGAGAGGGCUCACGCCAUGGAGGGGUUGAGGGCGCUUGAGUCGAAGCUGUCGAGCCUCAAGAACACUAUGAAGGAAAUUGACGUGGAGUUGCAAGAGAUGGCUGCGUCGAGCACGAAGAGGAAGAGAGUGACCGCGCCAUGGUGAUCGACGACCGUCUAGUGCAUACAUCUUCAGCAACGUAGUGCUGCUAGCAUGCUGUUGUGUCUCGGUGUACAUCGAUUUAAAUUACUACCUCGAAUGUAGCUGCACUUUGAUUCAUGGUUUAUUAUGAGUAUGCUGUAUUUUGAUUGUGCAUACAUCUUUUUUUUUGUUAUUCUCUCUUUGCUGGUGGUACCUACCUUACAUGCCAAGAAAAGGCGCAUCUGAAUUUUGCUGAAACUCCCUGAUAUGCCUUUUCUAAUCUAAUUAAGCGAGUACAGAGGGAGUACCUUACAUGCCAGAUUGUCUAUUUUUAUCCGAGACUGCAUUCCGCGAUCCGUCAUUGGGGUGCUGUUGCGGGAGAUUUUGUUUGUGGGCGUUGACGAGCUGACUAGUAACUGCUACUGUUACUUAUUGGUAAAUUCACUAGCUAAAGUUUAGUACAGUAAAAUAAUAUUGUGCAAUUUAUGUUUAUGCUCAUAACAAUGAGUAGUCUGAAUUGGUUUCCUAAUUAUUUUCGGGUGGAAGGGAGGGAUGCAUUGCACGAUCCGUCUUUAGCAUGUCGUGGAGAGAGGUUUUGUUUCUGUCAUUGUCGAACUGACUAGUAACUACUAGUGCUACUUAUUUCUACAUCACUAGUUAAAAUUUAGUAAUAAAAAUUAUUGUGCGAUUGAGGUUUAUGGUCAUAACAAUGAGUACUCUGACUUUGUUUCCUAACUAAUUUUCCAGAGGAAGGGAUGGACACCAGUGAGUUCCCUCGAGUCUGCCAAGAUCAAGAUGGGGCAGAAGACGGUGUUUCGGCAUCCAAAGCUCACUUUGGUCAACAACGGCGGUUUGGAGAAUGAGCAAGUAAAGCCUCCAGGCUCUCGGUAUGAAGUGGUAGUCCAAAGAACUAUCACUAUUACCUAUAAAGUAAGGAAAUUUUUGGUCAUUGUCAUAAAAGGACAUUCCAUACCUCAGAUUAUCUAUAAUCUCCUGCGGCAUAUGCAAACAGAUAGUGAAUUUGUUGCUUUUGUUUUGGUUGAUUACAACAUUUUCAGCGGAAGAGACAGGGUCCAGCCAAGAGUAAGAUUGCACAUGACUAAAUGUUGAUUGACAGUAGAAGUAGCAGCAGUAGUAGCUAUGGCAAGAGUGACUAUGAGUCGCCAUCUCUUCACGUAUCUACUGUGGUUCUAAUUUCUUGAUAAGGCAUAUUCAUGUCUAUUAAAAAAACCUUGAUUUGUCAUAUUCAUUAAUUCAUAUAUGAGAUGCAGUUGUUGUUCUUGGUAGUGUUAUGCAACGAGAAAAAGUAAUGGAUUCUAGUCUCUUGAGUUGAAGUUUGGACUUGUGCUAUCUUUUAAUUUAAUUAUUUAAUGAGCAUGGCUUCUAUUUUUAGUUGACACGCUAAUGUUUGGCUCACAAUAUUCUAAGAGGUGCAUUGUUGUAAAUACAUGUUCCACUUCCUUCAUUCUUAAGAUGACAAUGAUCUAAACAACAACAACAAAAUUGUAGGUACUAAUGAAAAAACAUCAUGAAGACAUGGACCAAGACCUGGAACACUGAGCGUGCAUAUUUUUCCCAAACAUCCUAAUUAAGAUAGUGGUCCAAAGGAUAAUGAAUUUGGAAAUAAAUAUAUUUUAUUUCAAUAUAGCUCUUACAUGAAAGCGCUAACUAGCAUCUACAACAGAUCUCCAUAGUCUGUAAGAAUAUCAAUAUCUUGUCCAGUGGAAGAGGGCGGCAAAUCAACCCAUCCACCAUUUACCAUGGAAGACUGCCCAAGAUCCGUAUCGCUAGAGCCUAAGGAAGCAUCCAUCCAUAGGAAACUAUUGUAGCAUGACUGAUCUGAUAGAGCAUAACCCCAUUGUUCAGUGUUAAAUGGGUCAUCAAUAGAAAAAGCAUUGCCAGUCGAGUAUCCCAAUAGUGGAGAGUCCUCCAAAUUCUGCACAGAUGUUGAGUCAUUAUUUGCAUCAUUUUGUUGCGGUUGCACUAUGUUGCAAGAACUUUCAUAGUUCUGAACAUGCAACUCCUCUGGUGGAGUUUGCUCAUGUAUGUGAUUUGGUAUGGGUUGGACAUGGGAAGCCAAGUGUGGAGCUAAAGAUGGUGGUGCAGAAUGGAACAUUUGUGGUACCUGCAUAGGAAAAAGUGGUGCCUAAGUUUGUUCUGGUUGUGAUGGUAGUGGAUCUUAAGGUAGCUGGAGUUGUGAGAGAUUGUGAGCCCAUAAUGACUGCAUAAGUAAAUGAGUAGUACCCAAAUGAUCUGCCGGUAGAACACUUGGUAGUUGCAGAUCUUGUGCCACACAUGUGCCACCGGUCUUGUCUUCCUGACAAGGUAGUGGAGGUAG